rnacentral:rRNA from 1 species
GACGGAGGGUGCAAGCGUUGUUCGGAAUUACUGGGCGUAAAGCGCGGGCAGGUGGCCCUUUAAGUCCUUUGUGAAAUUCCGGAGCUCAACUCCGGAUGUGCAUAGGAUACUGGAAGGCUAGAGACUGGUAGAGGCGAGCGGAAUUCCUGGUGUAGCGGUGGAAUGCGUAGAUAUCAGGAAGAACACCGGUGGCGAAGGCGGCUCGCUGGGCCAGUUCUGACACUCAUCCGCGAAAGCGUGGGGAGCAAACAGGAUUAGAUACCCUGGUAGUCCACGCCGUAAACGAUGGGCACUAGAUGCCGGGCCUAUAGACGGGUUCGGUGUCGCAGCUAACGCAUUAAGUGCCCCGCCUGGGGAGUACGGCCGCAAGGCUGAA